UGGGGACUAUUGGACAAUGGGCGCAAGCCUGAUCCAGCCAUGCCGCGUGAGUGAUGAAGGCUCUAGGGUUGUAAAGCUCUUUCACCGGUGAAGAUAAUGACGGUAACCGGAGAAGAAGCCCCGGCUAACUUCGUGCCAGCAGCCGCGGUAAUACGAAGGGGGCUAGCGUUGUUCGGAUUUACUGGGCGUAAAGCGCACGUAGACGGACUAUUAAGUCAGGGGUGAAAUCCCGGGGCUCAACCCCGGAACUGCCUUUGAUACUGGUAGUCUUGAGUUCGACAGAGGUGAGUGGAAAUCCGAGUGUAGAGGUGAAAUUCGUAUAUAUUCGGAGGAACACCAGUGGCGAAGGCGGCUCACUGACUCGAUACUGACGCUGAGGUGCGAAAGCGUGGAGAGCAAACAGG
rnacentral:rRNA from 1 species